CGGGACGGGUGAGUAAUGUCUGGGAAACUGCCUGAUGGAGGGGGAUAACUGCUGGAAACGGUAGCUAAUACCGCAUAACGUCGCAAGACCAAAGAGGGGGACCUUCGGGCCUCUUGCCAUCGGAUGUGCCCAGAUGGGAUUAGCUAGUAGGUGGGGUAAAGGCUCACCUAGGCGACGAUCCCUAGCUGGUCUGAGAGGAUGACCAGCCACACUGGAACUGAGACACGGUCCAG
rnacentral:rRNA from 1 species